UUUCCGUAGGUGAACCUGCGGAAGGAUCAUUAUCAUAUAACCGAGGUCCCAGGGCUUUCGCUGACCCGACAGGUCGUGCACGCCCAACGGCCCUCACACACAUCCAUCUCACCCCCAGUUGCACCACCCCGUGCGUCCCCCUUUGUCUGUUUCGGCGGGGGGCUUCCGUUUUCACACAAACUUUGUAUGCAGUGUAGAAUAUAUUUUUUGUUUUUGCGAUCACGCAAUCACUACAACUUUCAACAACGGAUCUCUUGGCUCUC
rnacentral:misc_RNA from 1 species